rnacentral:rRNA from 1 species
AGAGUUUGAUCCUGGCUCAGGACGAACGCUGGCGGCGUGCCUAACACAUGCAAGUCGAACGAGAAACCGGAGCUUGCUCCGGUGGACAGUGGCGAACGGGUGAGUAACACGUGAGAAACCUGCCCUGGAGACCGGGACAACCAUUGGAAACGAUGGCUAAUACCGGAUGCCCUCAGAUGGUCGCAUGACCGACUGAGGAAAUGCUCUGGCGCUCUGGGAGGGUCUCGCGGCCUAUCAGCUAGUUGGUGGGGUAAUGGCCUACCAAGGCAUCGACGGGUAGCUGGUCUGAGAGGACGAUCAGCCACACUGGGACUGAGACACGGCCCAGACUUCUACGGGAGGCAGCAGUGGGGAAUAUUGCGCAAUGGGCGAAAGCCUGACGCAGCAACGCCGCGUGAGGGAUGACGGCUUUCGGGUUGUAAACCUCUUUCAGUGACGACGAAAAUGACGGUAGUCACAGAAGAAGGUCCGGCCAACUACGUGCCAGCAGCCGCGGUAACACGUAGGGACCAAGCGUUGUCCGGAUUUAUUGGGCGUAAAGAGCUCGUAGGCGGUUCAGCAAGUCGGCUGUGAAAUUUCGAGGCUCAACCUCGAAACUGCAGUCGAAACUGCUGUGACUCGAGUCCGGUAGAGGAGAAUGGAAUUCCCGGUGUAGCGGUGAAAUGCGCAGAUAUCGGGAGGAACACCAGUAGCGAAGGCGGUUCUCUGGGCCGGCACUGACGCUGAGGAGCGAAAGCGUGGGUAGCAAACAGGAUUAGAUACCCUGGGUAGUCCACGCCGUAACGUUGGAUACUAGGUGUGGCGGUCUUACCAACCCCCUGCAGUGCCAAAGCUAACGCAUUAAGUUCUCCGCCUGGGGAGUACGGUCGCAAGAUUAAAACUCAAAGGAAUUGACGGGGGCCCGCACAAGCGGUGGAGUAUGUGGUUUAAUUCGAUGCAACGCGAAGAACCUUACCUGGAUUUGACAUCCUCGGAACUUUUCAGAGAUGAUUAGGUGCCUUCGGGAGCCGAGUGACAGGUGCUGCAUGGCUGUCGUCAGCUCGUGUCGUGAGAUGUUGGGUUAAGUCCCGCAACGAGCGCAACCCUUGUCCUUAGUUACCAUCAUUCAGUUGGGGACUCUAAGGAGACUGCCGGUGUUAAACCGGAGGAAGGUGGGGAUGACGUCAAGUCCUCAUGGCCCUUACAUCCAGGGCUACACACGUACUACAAUGGUCGGUACAAUGAGUCGCUAGCUCGCGAGGGUGAGCUAAUCCCACAAAGCUGUUCUUAGUCCGGAUUGCAGUCUGCAACUCGACUGCAUGAAGUUGGAAUCGCUAGUAAUCGUAGAUCAGAACUGCUACGGUGAAUACGUUCCCGGGCCUUGUACACACCGCCCGUCACACCAUGGAAGUCGGCUGCACCUAGAAGCCGGUAGCCUAACCCUCGGGAGGGCGCCGUCCACGGUGUGGUCGAUGACUGGGGUGAAGUCGUAACGAAGGUAGCCGU